rnacentral:rRNA from 1 species
CUAGCCGUAGACGAUGGAUACUAGGCGUUGUGAGUAUCGACCCUCACAGUGUCGUAGCUAACGCGUUAAGUAUCCCGCCUGGGGAGUACGCGCGCAAGCGUGAAACUCAAAGGAAUUGACGGGGGCCCGCACAAGCGGUGGAGUAUGUGGUUUAAUUCGAUGCAACGCGAAGAACCUUACCAGGACUUGACAUGUCGCGAAUCUCAGGGAAACUUGAGAGUGCCUUCGGGAGCGCGAACACAGGUGGUGC